CCGUGCCAAGCUGCGUGCACC
rnacentral:miRNA from 1 species